UACAGAGGGUGCAAGCGUUAUCCGGAUUCACUGGGUUUAAAGGGUGCGUAGGUGGGCAAGUAAGUCAGUGGUGAAAUCUCCGGGCUUAACCCGGAAACUGCCAUUGAUACUAUUUGUCUUGAAUACUGUGGAGGUCAGCGGAAUAUGUCAUGUAGCGGUGAAAUGCUUAGAUAUGACAUAGAACACCAAUUGCGAAGGCAGCUGACUACACAAAUAUUGACACUGAGGCACGAAAGCGUGGGGGAUCAAAACAGG
rnacentral:rRNA from 1 species